UCUUUCUUUCUUUCUUUCUUUCUUUCUUUCUUUCUUUCUAAGAGAGAGAGAGAGAGAGAGAGAGAGAGAGAGAGAGAGA
rnacentral:miRNA from 1 species